GACGAACCGUGCGAACGUUGUUCGGAAUCACUGGGCGUAAAGGGCGCGUAGGCGGCAUGGUAAGUCCGGGGUGAAAGCCCCCAGCUCAACUGGGGAAGUGCCUUGGAAACUGCUGUGCUCGAGGGAGGUAGGGGUCGAGGGAACUUCUGGUGGAGCGGUGAAAUGCGUUGAUAUCAGAAGGAACGCCGGUGGCGAAAGCGCUCGACUGGACCUUUUCUGACGCUGAGGCGCGAAAGCUAGGGGAGCAAACGGG
rnacentral:rRNA from 1 species